rnacentral:rRNA from 1 species
GACGAGGGAUCCUAGCGUUGUUCGGAAUCAUUGGGCGUAAAGCGGGUGUAGGUGGCUUUGUAAGUCAGGUGUGAAAGCCCAGGGCUUAACCCUGGAAGUGCAUUUGAUACUGCGAAGCUUGAGUGCUAGAGAGGCUAUUAGAAUACCUGGUGUAGUGGUGAAAUACGUAGAUAUCAGGUGGAAUACCGGAGGCGAAGGCGGAUAGCUGGCUAGACACUGACACUCAGACCCGAAAGUGUGGGGAUCAAACAGG